rnacentral:rRNA from 2 species
ACACAUGCAAGUCGAGGGGCAGCAUGGUCUUAGCUUGCUAAGGCCGAUGGCGACCGGCGCACGGGUGAGUAACACGUAUCCAACCUGCCGUCUACUCUUGGACAGCCUUCUGAAAGGAAGAUUAAUACAAGAUGGCAUCAUGAGUCCGCAUGUUCACAUGAUUAAAGGUAUUCCGGUAGACGAUGGGGAUGCGUUCCAUUAGAUAGUAGGCGGGGUAACGGCCCACCUAGUCUUCGAUGGAUAGGGGUUCUGAGAGGAAGGUCCCCCACAUUGGAACUGAGACACGGUCCAAACUCCUACGGGAGGCAGCAGUGAGGAAUAUUGGUCAAUGGGCGAGAGCCUGAACCAGCCAAGUAGCGUGAAGGAUGACUGCCCUAUGGGUUGUAAACUUCUUUUAUAAAGGAAUAAAGUCGGGUAUGGAUACCCGUUUGCAUGUACUUUAUGAAUAAGGAUCGGCUAACUCCGUGCCAGCAGCCGCGGUAAUACGGAGGAUCCGAGCGUUAUCCGGAUUUAUUGGGUUUAAAGGGAGCGUA